UAUAUAAUACAUUACAAAAAAAUAAUUAAUACUUAUCAUUUAAAAAAUAAAUUCUUUGUGUAUCAUUAAACACUUGUCUAAUCAUGCGUAUGUGAUAAGAAAACUAAUUUGACUUAUAAACCUAUGAUAAGGCUAGGGAGUAGCCUCGAGCUCGACAGCCGCUAAGCUAGCUCGGCAAACACCAUUCUCUCCCCUUAUAGAUAAGAUGUUGUUGACUCUCUCUCUCCUUACUAUCUUCUUCUUCUUCCCCACUCCCCGGAAAGAAAAUUUAUCCAUCCUUGGUAGCUCAGUUCUUCUUCUUCUUCUUUUUCUUCUCUUCUUCCCCACUCCCUAGCCAUGGAAAAAGUUUUCUCCAUCCUUGGUAGCUCGGUGAGAUCAACACCAAACCCCCCUCCCCCUCCAACCUAAGAGGAGAUAAAGACAUGAAUCUCGUUAUGAUGUCCCAAUUUGAUGGAGAUUUACACAGAAGAUUUAUAUUGGUGUUGUUGGGGAUUUAUUUAUUUUAUAGCCCAGCGGUAUCCGGUGUUGCCCUGUCUUCUUGAGGUUAAGGGUUCCAGUCUCGCAAUGGACAUAGGUGAAAUAAUUUAGGUGUAUUUUGUUUAUUUGUCGUUUCAAAAAAAAUAUAUGGGGUACCAAUUAUAUCA